rnacentral:rRNA from 1 species
UAGUACGGCGAGUGAGCGGGAAGAGCUCAAAUUUGAAAUCUGGCAGUCUUCGAUUGUCCGAGUUGUAAUCUAUAGAGGCGUUUUCCGUGCCGGACCGUGUCCAAGUCUCCUGGAAAGGAGUAUCAAAGAGGGUGAUAAUCCCGUACUUAACACGACCACCGGUGCUCUGUGAUACGUCUUCUACGAGUCGAGUUGUUUGGGAAUGCAGCUCAAAAUGGGUGGUGAAUUCCAUCUAAAGCUAAAUAUUGGCGAGAGACCGAUAGCGAACAAGUACCGUGAGGGAAAGAUGAAAAGCACUUUGGAAAGAGAGUUAAACAGUACGUGAAAUUGUUGAAAGGGAAACGAUUGAAGUCAGUCGUGUUCUUUGGAUUCAGCCAGUUCUGCUGGUCUACUUCCUUUGAACGGGUCAACAUCAGUUUUGUCCGGUGGAUAAAGGUAGUAGGAAUGUGACUUCUCCGGAAGUGUUAUAGCCUAUUAUCACAUACACUGGGUGAGACUGAGGACUGCAGCUCGCCUUUAUGGCCGACCUUCGGGUACGUUCGAGCUUAGGAUGUUGACAUAAUGGCUUUAAACGACCCGUCUUGA